AUUACUUCUGAAGAAAUAACGAAAAGCUUCCAGCCUACUUCGAGGAAGCAAGACAGAGAGGAAGACAGAAUAAGGCCCCUCUGCCAUGCCGCGCUGCCUUCGAGCUGCUGACUAGGCACUGAAACCUCUCCCAAGUGCGAGCCGAGAUAAACCUCUCCUCGGUUAACUUGUGUGUGUCCGGUAGCGUGUCUCGGUGACCAAGUCACUCCCCUCGAGGUCCUGCCCUUGACACCUGCACGGCACGCACAACAGGCAUUGGGCUCUCCCAUCCCAACAGCAGCAUAUGCAUCCUUUUCAACUGGAAUAAAUUUUAAAGUGAUUUUUUAAAUCAUGUCACCCGUAAUUCAUUCAUUCAUCUGUUAUGGCCGAAUUUGGGACCCAUAUCAUUUAACCAUAUUUCAGGCUAAAAGUAAGAAAUAAAUUUGAAAGCCUUAAGCAACGAAAAGCUGGUUUGUUUGUUCAAUUCUGACAUCUGACUUCAGGAGGGAUUAAAAAACUUCCAGCAUUCACUGUGUUGUUCUCCUUCCUCAGACCUGGCUCCACUUCUGGGUUCUUAGGCAUACCUUCUCUUAUCUAUUCCAG
rnacentral:lncRNA from 1 species